rnacentral:rRNA from 1 species
CGUAGGCAGCGGGCGUUGUUCGGAGUUACUGGGCGUAAAGAGUGCGUAGGCGGUUUUCUAAGUUUGGUGUGAAAUCUCCCGGCUUAACUGGGAGGGUGCGCCGAAGACUGGAAGGCUAGAGUAUGGGAGAGGUAAGCGGAAUUCCUGGUGUAGCGGUGAAAUGCGUAGAUAUCAGGGAGGAACACCUGCGGUGUAGACGGCUUACUGGACCAUAACUGACGCUGAGGCACGAAAGCGUGGGUAGACAAACAGGAUUAGAUACCCUGGUAGUCCACGCCCUAAACGAUGCAUACUUGGUGUGGGUAGUUCAUUCUAUCCGUGCCGGAGCUAACGCGUUAAGUAUGCCGCCUGGGGAGUACGGUCGCAAGGCUG